rnacentral:rRNA from 1 species
UACAGAGGUGGCAAGCGUUGUUCGGAAUUACUGGGCGUAAAGGGCGCGUAGGCGGCCUGGUCAGUCGGAUGUGAAAGCCCGGGCUCAACCCCGGAACGGCAUCCGAGACGGCCAGGCUGGAGACCGGGAGAGGAGAGUGGAAUAGCCAGUGUAGAGGUGAAAUUCGUAGAUAUCGGGAGGAACACCUAUGGCGAAGGCAGCUCGCUGGGACGUUACUGACGCUGAGACGCGAAAGCGUGGGGAGCAAACAGG